GGUAGCUCAACUGGUAGAGCACAUGCUUAGCAUGCAUGAGGUCCUGGGUUCAAUCCUUAGUACCA
rnacentral:tRNA from 1 species